UGGCCCAUAUAGAUAUUCAUGUAUAUAAUAAACAAGACGAGUAGCUAGAUUCAUUUCAGUCAACUGUUGUAUGAAUGAUAUAUCAGAAAUGAAGUGGAUAGGUUGUUGUUUUCUUCUACUGACUUUUGUGACUUCUUCUAUUUCACUUUUUUGUGAGAUUACUGAAGAUGGAAGUAUGUCAACAAGUCAUACAGGAUAUAAAUGUCUUGAUCACCAGGAAAGUUCUUAUAUGUUUCCUCCCAAGUUUCAGGUGUGUGACUGCCCUACUGGAAGACAAUGUAUCAGUGUAAAAGAUGGCCUGAAUGACAUAUUCAAGUGUUCAAAAGAACAUACAGAAGGACUAAAUUUGGAAAAAAAGAAAUAAAUAUUUUCAUGGGUUGUUCUGCUUGAUCGAGUAUGACUUUUGAAGGUGGGAUACAUAUCAAUGGGACAGAAACAACAAAAAACACCGUAUUAAAUCAUCUUUAAGUUA